rnacentral:rRNA from 1 species
UACGUAGGGGGCAAGCGUUGUCCGGAUUUAUUGGGCGUAAAGAGCGUGUAGGCGGCCGUACAGGUCAGCUGUGAAAACUCGAGGCUCAACCUCGAGACGUCGGUUGAAACCGUACGGCUAGAGUCCGGAAGAGGAGAGUGGAAUUCCCGGUGUAGCGGUGAAAUGCGCAGAUAUCGGGAAGAACACCCGUGGCGAAGGCGGCUCACUGGCCCGGUACUGACGCUGAGGUGCGAAAGCGUGGGGAGCAAACAGG